ACAAAGGUGUUUUUGAACACCACUGAAAUGUUUGGAGACAGCAAACU
rfam:Calypte anna contig10107, whole genome shotgun sequence.